rnacentral:misc_RNA from 1 species
AGUUAAAUAGUACGUGAAAUUGUUGAAAGGGAAACGAUUGAAGUCAGUCAUGCUAGUGAAAAAUCAGUUUGACGGGUUUUGAGUUCAGGAGUAGAGGCAGGGUCAAACCGUUUCUCUUUUGAACUUGGGAUUUGUUAGAUGUACUUUUUCUUUGGCAGGUCAGCGUCGAUUUCGGAGGUUGUAAAAUACUUGGGGGAAAGUAGCUCUGCUUCGGGAGAGUAUUAUAGACCCUGGGGGAUGCAGCCUGCGGGAUCGAGGAUUGCAGCAAAUGCCUUUGGCUUGUCGCCUGAUCUCUGGAUGUUACCUCGCUUGUGACAACAUUCUUGCCACCUGUGGGUACUAAUGCCCAUUAGGUUAGAGCGAUCAAAAAUUUUGCUAAGGAUGCUGACGUAAUGGCUUCAAA